CCCCCUCUCCCUCUCCCCCUCUCUCUGGUGCUGGGGAUGUGAACCCAGGGCUUCACACAUGCUGAGCUGCACCCCCAGCCCUUCUUGUAAUUUUGAGACAGGGCUGUGCCAAGUUGCCCGGCUGCCCUCAGACCUCGGCUCUGAGUGCAUCUUGGGGCCGCGGGCCUUUGCCUCCACUCCUGGCUAUUCUGAUGGGUUAACUCUCCUAUCACUGAGCUGCAGCUCUUUUUCUGUUUUUCCUUGAUUGUUAAAUAACCCACAGUGCACAGGUAAGCAAGGGCCUCUGCAGCUCCCUGGUCUGAGGAGAGGCCGUGGCACCCAGCCUCAGCUCUGGAGCCUCCAGAAUGAAAGGGGACAAUGGCAGAGGUCACUCUCCAGUGCUGCUGCUGCAGCUGGAUAAAGUGGUGUGUGCAGAGCUCAGUGAGCUGCUGUUGCUGUGUCCAUGGGAAUUGACCACACACCCUGGUACUGACUGACAGCUGAACCUGACAUGAAGUCCCAUGGAGCUCUGGCCCCUGGUCGAGGCAUCCACCUGUCUCAGUCACUUGGCAUCUCUGGGACCAGAAGAUCCUUCAAGAGCAACAUAAAGGAGGAAAAUUUAUCAUGACUCCUGGUUUCAGAGGUCCAGUCUCUGGUCACCUGACACCAUGGCUCUGGGCAGAGGUGAGGCAGGCAUCAUGGUGGAAGGGUGUGGCCGAGGAACGCAGCUCAGGACGUGGCAGUCAGGAAGCAGAGAGAGGGAUCAAGGCACCAGGGACAAAAAGUGUCCCAACAGCAUGCUUUCAAGGACCUGCUUUCUCCAGCCACACCCCACCUGCCCAGGGCUACCACCCAAAUAAUCCAUCAGUGGACUAAUUCCCCCGACAAGAUUAUACUUCUCAUAGUCCAAUCCAUCCACCUCUGGAAAUCCUUGCAUUGUCUCACACAUGAGCUUUUGGGGGACUCCUGAUACCUAAACCAUAAUAACUUGGUGUCUAACUCAGAAUAAUAUAAUAUCUAACUCAUAAUAACAUGACCAUUUAUUUUGAAUGUCAGUUAGGUAAAACCAGCUAAGUCAUUGGGGUGUCUUACGAAUGUGACCUUGAGCCAGAUCUGGGAGAAGGCUGGAUCCAUGAACCAGCGAAGGUUGGCUGUGAAGCCCUCUGUGUGGAGGGGUGGAAGGUUCGGGAUUCACUCAUGUCGAUCAGGUGGUGGUGUCAGGAGUAGGUUUCCUUGGAAAUAAAGAUUCAAAACUGUGGCUUCAUCAUGUAGAAAUUAAUUUCUCCUUCACAUCCUCAAAGCAAGGCUGGUGUGGCAUUCUUCGGUGUUAGGGGGGGACCCAUCUUCUUCUAUCCAUCUUCUAUCCAUUCUUCUAUCCUCCACACAGGGAGUAAUAAGAACCGCCAUCUAUUCCCAAAUUUACCUCAUAGUCUAAGUUGGUUUUUCCAGUUCCUGCCAUCAAACCUUUAUUCCAAGCAUCCAGAAAGAGAGAAGAGCAGAUCCUUUACCUUCAAGGACAUUUCCUGCAGAAUUCAUACAGCACUUCUGCUUACAUCUCAUUCCCUGGGAUUCUCUUAAUUACCUAGAUUUGAGGGAUGCUGAUAGAUGCACUCUUUAUCCUGGGGACACAGAUGCCAAGGGGACUAUUUAUUUGGGACCCAUAAGCUAUUAUACUGCAGGGUAAAGGGGGUUAGGCCCCUAUGCUUAGACCAAAGCCAAGGCUAUGAAAACCAGUCCCAUCUGUAAAAUGGGGAGCUGUAGUUUCUGGUUGCCAUAGUAAUGGAGAACAGACCCUGAUCGGGAAGUGGCUCAUCCUUGCACCUGAGGCCCUGAGUGUGCACCCUAACUCUCAGAGGAGACUUUCUUGUGAGGUCAGACACAACUUGUUGACUCUGGCUCUAACUCCCUGCCCACCGUGGGAAAGUCUAGCAUGGAGGCUGGAGAGGAGGAGUUCGCAGGGGUGGUACUGUGGUGAGGCCUCCUGUCUGCCACUACGUGCUGGGUAAUAAACGAGGUCUGCGAUGUGCGGAUGGUAGAUUCGUCUUCAAUGGCAUUUAAAAACGGGAUUGGGUAGUCACUUAGCUUAGAUCGAAGUUUUCAUGAAGAGACUUUGAAGAAAAUAUUGCAAAGCGUCCCCACUCAGCUGUGGAAGAGAACCUGAGAGCCUCCUGGGUGUGGCUCCUGCUGCCCUGUUCCCUGAGUGCUUUCUCCUGUCAUGUCACAGGGGCACAUUGGCCUUAACCAUCCAUCAUCAGGAUUCCUUGUUUAAAGCUACUGAGGGUUAUUGCAACAUUAAGAGACCCCUGGAAAGUCACGGUCAAAACAUAGUCUACGUUGAAAUGGAUUUGCAAGUUGAAUUCAAAGACCUAAGAAAAACUGGAUUUUUUAUUAUUUUAAUAUUAAUACAUUUAUAGUAAUCAAUGCCUACCUUUAUCAAUACACAAAAGCCACCCUCACAGGGGAUGUCUUUUGUAAACGCAUGUUGACAUAUUAUUCACUUUCAUCUUUAUUGAUUCAUAUGCAAAAUAAGAGGGCUCUGGGAUCAUUUUUUUUCUUUAUUAGUAGAGCCAGUGUUUGUUUUUGCUCCAAAUUAAACCCUUAUAUGUUGACCUAUGUUUUGAGAGGUGACCCUCCACGUAGUCUGGGGUGCUUGGCAGUUGAGGUGUCCCCAGCUGGGUUCACUCGGACCACUCACUAGAGGAAACUAUGCUUUAUUUAUUCUAUCUACAUAUCUGACCUCGACUUCCCAUUUCCUGAAUUUAAAGUAGUAGUAAGAAUCCCUGAUUCCAAGUCCAGGGUUUGUGUGUUCAAGUUAAUCUCUGAAGCUUCCUAGCUGCGUGACCUCAGGUUCCUUACUUAACUUCUCUGUUUCUUCAUCUGUAAAAUCAGGAUCUUUCUACAUUCCUAUGAGUACGUUAAUACAUGUGAACUUCUUAGAAUGACAACAGGUCUACAGCAGGUGCUCAAUAU
rnacentral:lncRNA from 1 species